GAAGGAGUAUAAAAAUAAAGGGGAAGGACCAGUGUUUAGGUAACAUACAACAGACAUUCAAGAAACGCUUCAGACCGACCGACUGUAGAAGUGAAAUAACCAGCUAGAGUUUAAUAAUAUGACCAAGGAGCAGCAAGACCAACAUGAUGAAGAUCUUUCUGCUCCUCCUCUCACUGAUGGCAGGCUGUGAGGCCUCAACUGAAGUGAAGGUUUGCAGAGACGGAUGGGUUGAAUUCUACUGCAAAUAUAAAGCAAGUGAAACAUACCAAAUAAUCGAUGUAGUUCCUCCAAACAAUUCAGAAAUACGAAGUACUCAAAAGGAUCAGUGGGAAAACAAAGGCAGAUAUUCUCUGUAUCAUGAUACAAAAAAUAAAAGACUCAAAGUGGCCAUCAAACAACUUCAACAGGAGAACUUUGGGGAAUACGAGUGUGAAUUUUUUCAAGACCAGAACUCACCAGACGAAGUUGAAGAUGAAGUUAAAGUGGCAGCUGAGACAGAUGGCUGCCAGGGACAAUUUAACCAAACUGUGUACAGAACGGCUAAAACCACCAUCACAUGUGAUUAUCCAGAAAACAAACACAGGUUCAGUGACAAGUUUCUCUGCAGAGAGAAUAAAUUCACUUGUGAGGAGAUUUUAUCAACGAGCUCUUCUGUAAAGUCAAACAGAAAAUACAAUCUCACAGAAACCAACAGAGGAUUCAGUGUGUCCAUCAGUAAUGUGUCCUCACAUGAUGCUGGUCUCUACUGGUGUGGAGUGAAUGAAGGAAAUUACCGAACUGGACUCAGAAAAAUCCAACUGAAGGUUGAAGGUGAGCAGCACACAUCUGACACUUCUAGGUUUGAUUCACUCACACAUAUAACUGAGGUCUCUCUGAAAUAUGUUGUUAAAUACAGUCAAUGCUGUCUGUCUACAGAUAUUACGACAUUCACAAGGUCUCCAACUAUUGGACAGAAUUUUACAUACUGGUGUGAAUAUCCAAAUGGUGCUCCGAUAAAGAAAUUCAUCUGUAAGGGAGAAGAUCCAUCUAUAUGUCAACCACUGAUCACUACACAGCAAAAGAAGAACACAAAGUUUUCCAUGAAGGAAGACAAAGAGAAGAGAAAUAUCACCAUAACAGUGAGAGAAGUAACAGCAGACGACAGUGGGACAUACUGGUGUGGAGCAGAAAGCACUGACAGAAGACGCAGUAACACAUUCUUCCACAGAUUCUUGAUGACUGUAGCGCCAGAAGGUCAGAAACAUCGAGACGUUGGUGCCACAGAGGAGCUAGCUAAAAGAUGAUGGAGACGGAUGGAGACAAGAGUAUCGAUGGAGAAGGGUUGAAUUUGGGACACAGAGAGACGCACGGAGAACGUGAGGCCAAUCCCUGGACAAACUUAAAGGACUUCUUUGAGUUCAAGUCUGCUAAUGACAACAAUUUCAUCAUGCAAUGUAAACUUUGUAUCCCGAAAGAGACGCAGCUAUCCACCUACAAAAACUCUGCUUCCAACCAGCACAAGCAUUGCUUUAUGUCAUAUAGGCUGAGUCCGGCUGAAAUCGCCUUCUUGACCCAGUACUGCACAGUGAUGAAGCCUGUGACGAAGGCCUUAAACAUCCUUCAGUCAGAGACGAACACACACACGGGAUGGCUGCUGCCAGUGAUCUUCCAGUUAGCAGCAAAACUCGGACGACUGGAAGUAUCCUGCAGGUUGUGCCUACCAUUAAUCAGAGCCAUUCAGGUGGGAUGAUGGGAGACCCUGAACUGAUAGCUGCAGCCAUCCUUCUGCCAAAAUUCAAGACCACUUGGACUGAGAAAGCCAACGUCAUAGAAGCAGGUUUGGCCUACGUGAAGCAUCACAUUGAGCACAAGACAGAGGAUGAGAUGGAGCACGUCGGCCACUCAUCAGAUGAGGACGAUUUAUUCUCAUCACUGAAGUCCAAAAGGUCAAAAGGCACAAGUGAGCUAGAUGGGUUCCUUGCCUGUGUCUCAGACAAAAUGGACCUACUGAACUCUUUUCCUCUCAUCAAAAAGCUCUCUCUCAAACUCAACACUGGCCUGCCUGCUUCUGCUGCUUGUGAACGCAUCUUCAGCUGUGCUGGACUGCUGUUCACUGCAAACCCAGCUAGAAUGAGCUCUACUUGAAGACCAGCUCCUGCUCAAAUGUCAACAAUUCCCUCUGCAACCUCAUCACCACCUGUAACACAACCAGCUAUUGUUUCUAAUGACGCCUUUGAUCUCACAUCUGUGCAGACCAUUGCUCUGGCUCUCUCUCUGGAUGUGCUGCUGUUGCUGCUGAUGCUCACUUCAUACUUCAUCUACACACGAUUUGCACCUUGUAAGAAAACAAGGAGAGGAGCAUGAAGGAAAAGCAAACAGAGGUGAAGAAGGCACAGGAGGGAGUGUGUGCGAGUCCCAGAGUCUCCAGUGUGCACAGCUUAACCCCGGUAUCCAGUCAGCCAGGCCCCAGUUUUGUUUUAGUUUUCAUGUUUAGCCUCUACUUGUACUGGCUUGUAUGUAUUAUUAGUAUUAUGUAUUAUGCUACUUGAGUCAGUGUUUGUAAUGUGUCUGUUCAGAACAUGGUGGUCUAUGUUGGUUAUAGUUUUAACCAUUAGUGAGCGGCCUGUUACAUUUGAUGACCUCUGCUGUAUAUAGCAUAUAUUGUCUAUAAUCAUGUAAAUAAUUGACAUGAAACUCACUGUCAGACUCUUAGUUUCCAUCUCAUAGCACAAUAUUAGCAGUUGAUAAAAACAUGCAUAUGAAAUCUAGAUUGGCAUGUGGAUCGGCAUCGUUGGUCUGAUAUCCAAUGAGUGAAUUACUUCAGUAUCUGCCCCCAAUACCGAUACUGGAUCCGAUCAGUCCCAUCUCUACAUAUUAAUGUGUCAGUCCUGGCUUUACUGGUCCAGAUUGAGGACAAGGUUGGAUAUCAUGACAUGAAAAUGUACAGUUAGAAUCUAAAUUAUAACAAAGAUAUGGAUUAAAUUCUGGAUUUUAGUCUUCAGUUAGUGUCUUUAUUCUCACUAGUAAGCACUUGGCAAAAAGUGAGGUUUAGGUUUAGUUUAUUUACACAAAUAAAAUAACCACAGUCAGUACUACUUUUGCAUUAGUUUUUUAAGACUUGAUACCAAACAUCCUGCCUACAGCCUCACCUGCAGACUGAUAUUAAUGUAAUUUAUAUUCUGUAUAUAAAGUUUAUACUAUGUGCAAUAUGUUAUGCAUCAGUUGUUGUUUCAUUGUUUAAAGAUGAAUCUUUUUGAAAUGUUAAUUUUUUACUAAAAUACUGCAUUUGUACAA